GGCUAACGCUGGCGGCGUGUCUUAGCCAUGCAAGUCGAGCGGACUUAUGGGGUAACUUAUAAGUCAGCGGCGGACGGCGGAGUAACACGUAGCUAACCUACCCUCUGGACGGGGAUAACCUACCGAAAGGUGGGCUAAUACCCGAUGUAGUCAUCCUGUAUAGGGGUGAUGAAAGGUGGGCUUCUGUUUACAAGCUCAUGCUGGAGGAGGGGGCUGCGGCCUAUCAGGUAGUUGGUAGGGUAAUAGCCUACCAAGCCGAUGACGGGUAGCCGGCCUGAGAGGGUGACCGGCCCGAGGGGCACUGAGAUACGGGUCCCACUCCUACGGGAGGCAGCAGGCUAGAAAUUUGGGCAAUGGGGGGAAACCCUGACCCAGUGACGCCGCGUGCAGGAAGGAGCCCUUCGGGGUGUAAACUGCUGUCGUGUAGGGAGAAGGGUACUAAGGUGAACAAUCUUAGUACUUGACGGUACUACAGGAGGAAGCCCAGGCUAACCUCGUG
rnacentral:rRNA from 1 species